UGCAGAAUCCCGUGAACCAUCGAGUUUUUGAACGCAAGUUGCGCCCGAAGCCAUUAGGCUAAGGGCACGUCUGCCUGGGUGUCACGU
rnacentral:rRNA from 1 species